GAGCUUGGAAUUCUUCAGGGGUAAAGUGUUUUUAGCUUGGAAUUCUUCAGGGGUAAAGUGUUUUGAGUUUGGAAUUCUUCUGGGGUAGAUGGUUUUGAGCUUGAAAUUCUUCAGGGGUAAAGGGUUCUGAGCUUGGAAUUCUUUAGGGGUGAAGGGUUUUGAGCUUCGAAUUCUUCAGGGGUAAAAGGUUUUGAGCUUGGAAUUCUUCAGGGGUAAAGGGUUUUGAGCUUGGAAUUUUGGAAUUCUUCAGGGGUAAACAGUUUUGAGCUUGGAAUUCUUCAGGGGUAUGACAAUGAAAAACAUGUAUCCUCGACAGGGGGGGUACGGAUAUUAAAUGGAAUAG